AGCAGGCGCAAGCUUGACUUGAUUUAUAACUGAUGAACUUUACAGUUAAUGAACUGAGUCAACACUGAGCUGACUGGAGCUGAAUAAUGACACUGCUGUCUUGCUACAGCUGCUUUACACUGUUCUUCAUUUCGUGGAUGAACCACAUGUGACCCUAAGUAGAACUGACUUCAUACAUCCACAAAAAAAUCACCUAAAC
ensembl:lncRNA